AAAGUAUAUUUGAUUUCUUUAAUACAUAUUCCCUUCGUUUCAUAAUAUAAGUUGUUUUAGAUAAAAGCACGUAGAUUAAGAACAUUUAUUUUUAAAAAGUUUAACCAAUUAGAAAAGAGACUACAUAAUAUAAUUAAUCAUAAAUUAUUAAAAUAUUAUAUAAUUUGCAUAAAAACUUGAAAACAACUUAUAUUG
rnacentral:sRNA from 1 species